CUGCGAAUAUUCUCGCUGUCCUGAUCGUCCAGUGGUCAUGGCAGGCUAGACAUUCGCUAUAGCAACACUAUGCAGUGUGUCCCCAGUGCUAGUUUGUAUUGUCUACCUCUGGUUUUUAACUGCUAGUGACAUUC